GAUGAACGCUGGCGGCGUGCCUAAUACAUGCAAGUCGAGCGAACAGACGAGGAGCUUGCUCCUCUGACGUUAGCGGCGGACGGGUGAGUAACACGUGGAUAACCUACCUAUAAGACUGGGAUAACUUCGGGAAACCGGAGCUAAUACCGGAUAAUAUAUUGAACCGCAUGGUUCAAUAGUGAAAGACGGUUUUGCUGUCACUUAUAGAUGGAUCCGCGCCGCAUUAGCUAGUUGGUAAGGUAACGGCUUACCAAGGCAACGAUGCGUAGCCGACCUGAGAGGGUGAUCGGCCACACUGGAACUGAGACACGGACCAGACUCCUACGGGAGGCAGCAGUAGGGAAUCUUCCGCAAUGGGCGAAAGCCUGACGGAGCAACGCCGCGUGAGUGAUGAAGGUCUUCGGAUCGUAAAACUCUGUUACUAGGGAAGAACAAAUGUGUAAGUAACUAUGCACGUCUUGACGGUACCUAAUCAGAAAGCCACGGCUAACUACGUG
rnacentral:rRNA from 1 species